rnacentral:rRNA from 1 species
CAGUAGCCGCGGUAACACGGAGGGUGCAAGCGUUAAUCGGAAUUACUGGGCGUAAAGCGCACGCAGGCGGUCUGACAAGUCAGAUGUGAAAUCCCCGGGCUUAACCUGGGAACUGCAUUUGAAACUGUCAGGCUGGAGUCUUGUAGAGGGGGGUGGAAUUCCAGGUGUAGCGGUGAAAUGCGUAGAGAUCUGGAGGAAUACCGGUGGCGAAGGCGGCCCCCUGGACAAAGACUGACGCUCAGGUGCGAAAGCGUGGGGAGCAAACAGGAUUAGAUACCCGCGUAGUCCCUGUCUCUUAUAA